UCCUGGUUUCUACUCUCUAUUGCCCGUAAUCUGCUGUCUGGCUGCUGCUGUGGCAUGUGAGAAGCAUAAUUAACUUUGUGGUAAAGGUGAGUGAUGUGCUGAUUUUUCUAUUCUGCCCUGGUGCAGGCGCUGUCUACCGAGAGUGAGGAGUGGUGGUGGUGUGGUGGUUACUGCCCGGAGGAUGGAGCUGCUAGCCUGCUACCCUUGACGCCAGCACUGCUAGCUUCACUGAAGCACUUGGGACACGGAAGUCGGAACAGGUGUGAACUCCUAGCAAAGCUGCAACUGCAAGAACAGUGCAUCUGAAAGCUGGAACGUUGGAAGCACUAUGGUCCCGAGUUCCGAAACGGCAGGCACAUUCAUAAGCAACAUGUCUGAUGCCGGCAUGCCGCAGGCAGCAGCGAAAAUGUUCGAUGGGGUACGGCGUGUUUCCAGGCUUCUGAACAUUUGAGUUCCAUGUACUUUGUUAUGUACUAGUAUGCUUCUCAAGAGAACAGCCACCAUACUUUGCAGCAGCUAUCAUUGCAAUUUUUACCUGCCUUCAA